UGGUCUUAAUGGUUACCAUACAACACUCACUGAAAUACUGACAACCAACCCACCUUCCUCUCAUUCUUCAUAUUCAUAUUAAUUCUCUCUUCCUCCAUUCAUAUUCCUACUUAUUCAUUCUCUUACUCUCUCUCUUUUCUCUCUACACUUUUAGUGCAAUUGUGGGAGCUUCUUUUCAACUUAUAACCAAAUAGUAUUACACCACCUCAACAACCUAAGGUACCAAGCUAGAAUUAAUGACAUGAGUAGAUAGAAGAAGAUAUAUAGAUA